UUUCGUGAUGACUCUAUGACACGCUAAGGCAUUCCUCAAACUUAAUUCACCAUGUGGAAUCUGUCGUAACUUAAGUUUCAGCCUUGUCUGAUC
rnacentral:snoRNA from 1 species